GUGCUCACUUCGGCAGCACAUAUAUUAAAAUUGGUAUGAUACAGAGAAUAGCAUGGCCCCUGCGCAAGGAUGACACACAAAUUCGAGAAGUGUUCCAUAUUUUU
ensembl:snRNA U6 U6 spliceosomal RNA